UACGUAGGGAGCAAGCGUUGUCCGGAAUCAUUGGGCGUAAAGAGCGCGUAGGUGGCUUCGUAAGUCCGUUGUGAAAGUCAAAGGCUCAACCUUUGAAAGCCGAUGGAUACUGCGGAGCUAGAGUACGGAAGAGGCGAGUGGAAUUCCUGGUGUAGCGGUGGAAUGCGCAGAUAUCAGGAGGAACACCGAUGGCGAAGGCAGCUCUCUGGGGCGGCCCUGACGCUGAGGCGCGAAAGCGUGGGGAGCGAACGGG
rnacentral:rRNA from 1 species